GACGAACGCUGGCGGCGUGCUUAACACAUGCAAGUCGAGCGGUAAGGCCCCUUCGGGGGUACACGAGCGGCGAACGGGUGCGUAACACGUGAGCAAUCUGCCCAUCACAUCGGGAUAACUCCGGGAAACCGAAGCUAAUACCGAAUACGACCACCUCCGGCAUCGGAUGGUGGUGGAAAGUUCCGGCGGUGAUGGAUGAGCUCGCGGCCUAUCAGCUUGUUGGUGGGGUAACGGCCCACCAAGGCUUCGACGGGUAGCCGGCCUGAGAGGGUGACCGGCCACACUGGGACUGAGACACGGCCCAGACUCCUACGGGAGGCAGCAGUGGGGAAUAUUGGACAAUGGGCGAAAGCCUGAUCCAGCAACGCCGCGUGAGGGAUGACGGCCUUCGGGUUGUAAACCUCUUUCAGCAGGGACGAAGCGCAAGUGACGGUACCUGCAGAAGAAGCACCGGCCAACUACGU
rnacentral:rRNA from 1 species